CUCCCGAGUGCUUCGUGGCUAAGCCUCCGCCCGCGCUCUCCGAGCACGGUGUAAAAGAAUAUCCGUUCCUCACACCGCCAAACCAGUUGCCAAUCUCGCUCGAUCACCGAUGGAGGAGGCCUGCGAGAUCGCGCGCCUGCCGGAGGAGCUCCUCUCGGCGGCGCUCGCCCGCACCUCCCCGCGCGACGCCUGCCGCGCAGCCGCCAUCUCCCCGGCCUUCCGCGCCGCGGCCGACUCCGACGCCGUCUGGGCCGGCUUCCUGCCCCCCGGCGGCCUCCCGCCGCUCGCCGACGGGGAGCUGGCUGCCCCCGCCCCGCCCUCCUCCAAGAAGGAGCUCUUCCUCCGCCUCUCCGCCGGCCCCGCCCUCCUCCAGGACAAGCUCGUGAGCGUGUGGGUGGACAGGGAGACCGGCGCCAAGUGCUACAUGCUGUCCGCCAGGAACCUCUUCAUCGUGUGGGGGAACACGCCCGAGUACUGGACCUGGAUCCCACUCCAAGACUCCAGGUUCUCCGAAGGUGCUCAACUCAGGCAUGUUUGCUGGCUCGAGAUCCGUGGGAAGAUACACAGCAACCUGCUUUCCCUGGACACAACCUAUACCGCCUACAUGGUCUUCAAGAAAACUGAUGAUUUCUAUGGGCUGGCAUUUCCGGUCCAGGAGGCAUCGGUCAGCGUUGGAGCAACCAACUUAACCCGCAAGGUUUGCCUCCAACAUAACAAUGAUGAUGACGACGGCGACGGCGACAAUGAUGACGAUGACGACUACGAUGACUGUGGGAUGCCCGAGAACUACUGGUCCAUGAGAAGGAAUGGCCUACACAAAGAAAAUGUCGCACUCCCUCAGCAAAGGACCGACGGAUGGAUGGAGCUGGAGCUGGGCGAGUUCUUCAACGAGGGGGGUGAAGACGGCGAGGUGUCCAUCAGCCUGACGGAGGCCAAAGGUGGGAACUGGAAGAGCGGCCUCAUCGUGCAGGGCAUUGAGAUCAGACCCCACAGCCCACAGAGGAUACCGGCUACGCUCAUCCGUUCACUCGAUCCAGCCCCCACUCGGUCGUUCCCCAAGUCCCCAACCUAACCUAGCGACUGCGGCCAGCGGCGGCGGCGGCGGCGAGUAGCGGCCAGCGCCCAGCGGCGGCAACGGCGGCGAGUAGCGGUCAACGGCGGCGGCCAGUACUGACUGCAGGCAGCGGCAAGCAGAGCCGCUGAACGGGCGACCAGCGGCAGGCCGGCAGCUGACCAGGUGGAUUUGCAGUGCAGUUAAAUUGGACAAAUUGCUGCUAGUGUUGGAUUUGAAUGCAACGAGCUACUGCCUAAGAUGAAGAAGAAGGGUGUUAGUAUUGUUGCAUUGUGGGAAUGAGCUAUGUGAAGAAUAAGCUAAACAAAAUGGGUGAUGAAUAUCUGAACAAUUGUUUGGUUACAUUUGUUGAGAGAGACUUUUUCGAUCAAGUGAAGGAUGAAGAUGUCAUCAAUCUGUUCCAAAAAGGCGAUCGCAAAGUUAUAUUGUAAGAAGGAUAUCAUCGCAAACAUAGUUGAAGCGCACCG